rnacentral:rRNA from 1 species
AUGCCGGCGAUGGACGCGUGCGCGCUCUGCGCCAGGCGGCUGGCGCGCGACAGCAACGUCUUCAUGUACAGAGGGGACACACCAUUCUGCAGCAAGGAGUGCCGGCACGAGCAUAUGCAUCUUGAUGCUGUCUCCGCCAGGCAGGCAGCCCGGAGGCUGCAGAGGGUCUCGGCGGGAGCAGAGUCCGGGCGUGCACACCACGGGGUGUCCGUCUCAAGCUAA